CCAGAAGGGUAGCUGGCCCCCCAAGUACCUGGGUCACAAGGACAUAAAUAAAAGAACUGUCCAAAAUAAGAAACACUAAUAGAAAAUUGCCCAAGAAAUAACACAGCAGCUCAGGAGGACUUGUUCCUCAUGAUCCCUGCGAACAGGAGGGCUCAGACAUGCUUCCAGGAGGCCAAGGCAUUGCCAAAGUCCUGCCUUGUCUCAGGACUCUGUGUACUUGCUGGUUUUGGCAAUAAAGAUGGCUUGUAAUAUUCU
rnacentral:lncRNA from 1 species